AGCUAGGGGCGUAGGAUGGGCAGGUCAGCGGGGACACGGGAGCCGGCGGACCGAGGCGACUGCGGUCCCCGGAGAGCCCGCACCAAACCCGGGGACGCACUCACCGGCGCGGAGUCAACUCGGACAGUGGCGGACGGCGAGGGCUCGGGGCGCGCGAACUCCAGAGAAAAGAGCCGCGGCCCCGCCCACGCCCCGCCCCUCACCCCACCCGCGCCAGGGAGGAGGGGCGCGCGGGGAGGAGGGGCGCGUCUGCCUAAGAUUCGGGUUCAAGGCCCCGGGAGACCUUAGCCAUCACCGCCCUUGGGAUUCCCGCCCUGCCUGGCGCGGCAGGACAUCCACGUGGGCUACAGACCCCGGCCCGAGCACGGAGCGCGUGGAUUCACUUCGCACCACAGUCGCUUAAGGCGCUCGGCCACUUUGCCUCAUUUUGCAAAAGAGGACAAUAAUGGUUGCGAGAGCGCGCCAGGCCCAGCCACAAGGCAAAGGUGGAGCUGGAGCAGGGCAGGGGGGGCUGGGCACCUGGGUCCGAGAUACUGCAGUGGAAACUAAGGCCAGAACUCUUGACUCCCGAGCCAAACACUGCUUCAGCCUAGGCCGCCUCGGCCUCCCCCUUCCUGAGCAGAAGACACUCCCGACAGGGCUCACAAGAUAAACACCCACCCGCACCACGUCCUUCAAGAACAGGACCCUGACCCCUGCCUUGCCUUCAGCUCCUCACCUGGAACAUGGGACAAGGACAGCCAUCCCUGCUGGCAUCCCGGGCCUGUGGGAUUCCACUGGGCCUCAGCGUCCCCAUCCCCAUCAUGGGCACAGGGGCGGCCCCAGCGAGCCGGCCUAGUUGGGAGAAACAAUAAAAUAGUGCCGUCACC